rnacentral:rRNA from 1 species
UACGUAGGGGGCUAGCGUUGUCCGGAAUCAUUGGGCGUAAAGCGCGUGUAGGCGGUCCGGUAAGUCUGCUGUGAAAGUCGGGGGCUCAACCCUCGGAAGCCGGUGGAUACUGCUGGGCUAGAGUGCGGAAGAGGCGAGUGGAAUUCCUGGUGUAGCGGUGAAAUGCGCAGAUAUCAGGAGGAACACCAAUUGCGAAGGCAGCUCGCUGGGACGUGACUGACGCUGAGACGCGAAAGCGUGGGGAGCAAACAGG